rnacentral:rRNA from 1 species
GUGGGGAAUCUUCCGCAAUGGACGAAAGUCUGACGGAGCAACGCCGCGUGAACGAUGACGGCCUUCGGGUUGUAAAGUUCUGUUAUACGGGACGAAUGGUACGACGGCCAAUACCCGUCGUAAGUGACGGUACCGUAAGAGAAAGCCACGGCUAACUACGUGCCAGCAGCCGCGGUAAUACGUAGGUGGCAAGCGUUGUCCGGAAUUAUUGGGCGUAAAGGGCGCGCAGGCGGCGUCGUAAGUCGGUCUUAAAAGUGCGGGGCUUAACCCCGUGAGGGAACCGAAACUGCGAUGCUAGAGUAGCGGAGAGGAAAGCGGAAUUCCUAGUGUAGCGGUGAAAUGCGUAGAUAUUAGGAGGAACACCAGUGGCGAAAGCGGCUUUCUGGACGACAACUGACGCUGAGGCGCGAAAGCCAGGGGAGCAAACGGGAUUAGAAACCCGAGUAGUCC